rnacentral:tRNA from 2 species
GGCUUGGUCCACUACGAUAGCGAAGAACGUCUGACUUUUAAUCAGAGGGUCCUGGGUUCGAGUCCCAGCGCGCUCACCA